GUUUCAGUUUGUUAUCCAGCGGUCAGACCGCCUUCAGUUCAUUCUUAAAUAAGUGUUUGUAUAAGCGGGACGGCCCAGACGUUAACCCGGGCCCUCCCGAAAAGUUCACAGGGGUUUGGUUUGGACGAGUGCACACGCGGCCCCCGCGACACGGCGUUUCCACCGGUGCUGAGGGCCGCGGCGCCCCGGAUGAAGUUUCAAUAAUGAUCCUUCCGCAGGUUCACCUACGGAAA
rnacentral:misc_RNA from 1 species